rnacentral:rRNA from 1 species
GUGCCAGCCGCCGCGGUAAUACGAGGGGUGCAAGCGUUGCUCGGAAUUAUUGGGCGUAAAGGGUAGGUAGGUGGUCUUAUUUGUCUGGGGUGAAAUCCUUGAGCUUAACUCAAGAAGUGCCCUAGAAACGGUAAGACUCGAGUUCUGGAGAGGGUCGUGGAAUUCCCGGUGUAGCGGUGAAAUGCGUAGAGAUCGGGAGGAACACCAGCGGCGAAGGCGGCGACCUGGACAGACACUGACACUCAACUACGAAAGCGUGGGGAGCAAACAGGAUUAGAAACCCCCGUAGUCC